GAAUUCACUAGUGAUUCAGGCCUAACACAUGCAAGUCGAACGGCAGCACGGACUUCGGUCUGGUGGCGAGUGGCGAACGGGUGAGUAAUACAUCGGAACGUGCCCAGUCGUAGGGGAUAACGUAGCGAAAGCUACGCUAAUACCGCAUACGAUCUAAGGAUGAAAGCGGGGGAUCGCAAGACCUCGCGCGAUUGGAGCGGCCGAUGGCAGAUUAGGUAGUUGGUAGGGUAAAGGCCUACCAAGCCGACGAUCUGUAGCUGGUCUGAGAGGACGACCAGCCACACUGGAACUGAGACACGGUCCAGACUCCUACGGGAGGCAGCAGUGGGGAAUUUUGGACAAUGGGCGAAAGCCUGAUCCAGCCAUUCCGCGUGCAGGAUGAAGGCCCUCGGGUUGUAAACUGCAUGGUACAGAACGAAAAGGCUCUGGUUAAUACCUGGGGC
rnacentral:rRNA from 1 species